rnacentral:rRNA from 1 species
ACCUGCGGUGAAGGAUCAUUG